GUGCUCCCUUCGGCAGCACAUAUACUAAAGUUGUAAUGAUACAGAGGAGAUUAGCAUGGCCCCUGCACAAGGAUGACACACAAAUCUGUGAUGCCUGUUGAGUAUUU